UGGAUAUUAUUUUAUCAUUUAUUAAAUAAAACUUUUUAAUAAAAAAUAUAUUAAACAUUUAAUAUCUUCUCUUAAAACACAAUAAGAAAAUAAAAUAUAUUUGAAAAUUAGAAAAACAUUUCAGAUUCAAUUUCUUGUUUCCAGAUUUCUUCUUCCCCCAAACUUCAGGAAUCACCACGUUUUCUCCAAACGAACGAAGAACCCUAAUUUUGUAUUCCCCCAAUUUCAUCUUUCCCCAAUUUCACGAUGAAACCAUUUCGCUAGCAAUUCAACUCAACAUUUUGGUGCUACAAUUGCAAUUCAACUCAACGUUUCGAUGCUACAAUCUCAAUUCAUCUCAGCAUCGCAAAUUCAAAUCAGCAUCGCAACUCAACGUUUCGUAUUCUCAUAAUCGUUGCCUCUUCUGCUGGAUAUUCUCUCUGUAGCUUUUCAAGAUUUCUCUUCGGCGACUGUUGAAUAUUUUUUGCGUUUUCUACUUCAAAGGUGGAAUCAAGGUUUUCGGUUGUGGCUUCUGGUGUAAAUCAUCAAGUUUCAUCAAGAGAGCUUCAACAUACAUCAUUGAUGAGUUUCUGCUCUCAUUGUUUUGGAUUCGGAAAUAGAUUCAAUGAAAUUAGCAGGGUGAAGGGAGAGUGAUUUGUGGAGUGAUGAAGAGCAAAGAAUGGUUGAAGAAGAUAAUGAUGGAGAGUGGUGGGAGAUUCUGUUAUAUAGAGGUUGAUGAAAGUUGAGAACUUUGAACCCGAGCCAUAGAUUGAAGAAUUAUGUUACAAGUUGAAAGGUGUAUAGUGUGGGGACAAAUGGACACAAGAUUGGAUGUAUUCAGGUGUGAUUGAUCUGGUGACGGUAUAUGGACUGGUUUUUGCAAGGUGAUUCAGUAAGGUUCUUUAACUUGAAGAUGGAGCAAUGAUGAGAAAAGUUUUGGCAUGCAAAGAAGAGGUGGAAACGUGAAGAAAUUGAGUGGCUUCAAUCAGUUGGAAUUCUCUUGUAGCUUAAGGACUUUGACUUUAUGCAACUUGAAUUCAACUUGUUUCAACUUGAGAUAUGUAGCUAGUAGUGUAAUCUUGAAUUUGAAUCUUGUUUCACUUAGGAAUUCUCUUUUGUAAUUCAAGAACUUGAUGUAAUUGAAAUCCAAAGGUUUGUACUAAUUUUGUAUCACUUUUUCUAAAUAUAAAUAGAGAUAGAUAUAGAGAGAGCAAGAA